rnacentral:rRNA from 1 species
AUUGAACGCUGGCGGAAUGCUUUACACAUGCAAGUCGAACGGCAGCACGGACUUCGGUCUGGUGGCGAGUGGCGAACGGGUGAGUAAUGUAUCGGAACGUGCCCAGUCGUGGGGGAUAACGUAGUGAAAAUUACGCUAAUACCGCAUACGAUCUAUGGAUGAAAGCGGGGGAUCGCAAGACCUCGCGCGAUUGGAGCGGCCGAUAUCAGAUUGGGUAGUUGGUGGGGUAAAGGCCCACCAAGCCAACGAUCUGUAGCUGGUCUGAGAGGACGACCAGCCACACUGGAACUGAGACACGGUCCAGACUCCUACGGGAGGCAGCAGUGGGGAAUUUUGGACAAUGGGCGAAAGCCUGAUCCAGCCAUUCCGCGUGCAGGAUGAAGGCCCUCGGGUCGUAAACUGCUUUUGUACAGAACGAAAAGGUUUCUACUAAUACUAGGAGCUCAUGACGGUACUGUAAGAAUAAGCACCGGCUAACUACGUGCCAGCCGCCGCUGUAA